CCCACAGCUGCCCCAUAGGUACCCCAUAGACACCCCACAGCUGCCCCAUAGGUACCCCAUAGACACCCCAUAGAUCUGCCCCAUAGAUAUCCCAUAGACACCCCAUAGACACCCCAUAGAUCUGCCCCAUAGAUACCCCAUAGACACCCCAUAGAUCUGCCCCAUAGAUAUCCCAUAGACACCCCAUAGAUCUGCCCCAUAGAUCUGCCCCAUAACUGCCCCAUAGAUACCCCAUAGAUAUCCCAUAGACACCCCAUAGAUCCGCCCCAUAGAUCUGCCCCAUAACUGCCCCAUAGAUACCUCAUAGAUAUCCCAUAGACACCCCAUAGACACCCCAUAGACACCCCAUAGAUCUGCCCCAUAUAUCUGCCCCAUAACUGCCCCAUAGAUACCCCAUAGAUAUCCCAUACACACCCCAUAGAUCCGCCCCAUAGAUCGGACCCAUAGAUCUGCCCCAUAACUGCCCCAUAGAUACCCCAUAGAUAUCCCAUAGACACCCCAUAGAUCCGCCCCAUAGAUCUGCCCCAUAGACACCACAUAGAUCUGCCCCAUAGAUAUCCCAUAGACACCCCAUAGACACCCCAUAGAUCUGCCCCAUAGAUCUGCCCCAUAGAUAUCCCAUAGACAGCCCAUAGACACCCCAUAGAUCUGCCCCAUAGAUACCCCAUAGAUACCCCAUAGACACCCCAUAGAUCUGCCCCAUAGUUCCGCCCCAUAGAUACCCCAUAGAAACCCCAUAGCUCACAGCUGCCCCAUAGAUACCCCACAGCUGCCCCAUAGAUACCCCAUAGGUACCCCACAGACACCCCACAGCUGCCCCAUAGACACCCUACGGCUCUGCCCCACAUCCGCCCCACAGCUGCCCCAUAGGUACCCCAUAGACACCCCACAGCUGCCCCACAGCUGUCCCAUAGAUACCCCACAGCUGCCCCACAGCUGCCCCAUAGGUACCCCACAGCUGCCCCAUAGGUACCCCAUAGACACCCCACAGCUGCCCCAUAGGUACCCCAUAGACACCCCACAGCUGCCCCAUAGUUCUGCCCCAUAGACACCCCACAGCUCUGCCCCAUAGACAGCCCACAGCUCUGCCCCACAGCUGCCCCAUAGGUACCCCACAGCUGUCCCAUAGAUACCCCAUAGCUCUGCCCCAUAGACACUCCACAGCUGCCCCACAGCUGCUCAUAGGUACCCCAUAGAUACCCCAUAGGUACCCCACAGACACCCCACAGCUGCCCCAUAGACACCCCACAGCUCUGCCCCACAUCCGCCCCACAUCCGCCCCACAUCCGCCCCAUAGAUCUGCCCCACAGCUGCCCCAUAGACACCCCACAGCUGCCCCAUAGGUACCCCAUAACACCCCACAGCUGCCCCAUAGGUACCCCAUAGACACCCCACAGCUGCCCCAUAGGUACCCCAUAGACACCCCAUAGAUCUGCCCCAUAGAUAUCCCAUAGACACCCCAUAGACACCCCAUAGAUCUGCCCCAUAGAUACCCCAUAGACACCCCAUAGAUCUGCCCCAUAGAUAUCCCAUAGACACCCCAUAGAUCUGCCCCAUAGAUCUGCCCCAUAACUGCCCCAUAGAUACCCCAUAGAUAUCCCAUAGACACCCCAUAGAUCCGCCCCAUAGAUCUGCCCCAUAACUGCCCCAUAGAUACCUCAUAGAUAUCCCAUAGACACCCCAUAGACACCCCAUAGACACCCCAUAGAUCUGCCCCAUAUAUCUGCCCCAUAACUGCCCCAUAGAUACCCCAUAGAUAUCCCAUACACACCCCAUAGAUCCGCCCCAUAGAUCGGACCCAUAGAUCUGCCCCAUAACUGCCCCAUAGAUACCCCAUAGAUAUCCCAUAGACACCCCAUAGAUCCGCCCCAUAGAUCUGCCCCAUAGACACCACAUAGAUCUGCCCCAUAGAUAUCCCAUAGACACCCCAUAGACACCCCAUAGAUCUGCCCCAUAGAUCUGCCCCAUAGAUAUCCCAUAGACAGCCCAUAGACACCCCAUAGAUCUGCCCCAUAGAUACCCCAUAGAUACCCCAUAGACACCCCAUAGAUCUGCCCCAUAGUUCCGCCCCAUAGAUACCCCAUAGAAACCCCAUAGCUCACAGCUGCCCCAUAGAUACCCCACAGCUGCCCCAUAGAUACCCCAUAGGUACCCCACAGCUGCCCCAUAGGUACCCCAUAUACACCCCACAGCUGCCCCAUAGAUACCCCAUGGACACCCAAUAGAUCUGCCCCACAGGUACCCCACAGGUACCCCACAGGUACCCCAUAGAUACCCCAUAGGUACCCCACAGCUCUGCCCCACAGCCGCCCAUAGGUACCCCAUAGAUACCCCAUAG
ensembl:lncRNA